rnacentral:ncRNA from 1 species
AUAUAAAUAUAAGCAAUCUAUACGGUGAAACUGCGAAUGGCUCAUUAAAUCAGUUAUCGUUUAUUUGAUAGUACCUUACUACUUGGAUACCCGUGGUAAUUCUAGAGCUAAUACAUGCUGAAAACCUCGACUUCGGAAGGGGUGUAUUUAUUAGAUAAAA